UUCUGGGUUUUGGAUUAAUGUUUCUAAGAUUUUGCAUAUGUGAUUGGAAUUCUCACUGGUGCAAGUGCUGAACAAGAAUUCGAAAAAGAUGGUGGGAAGCAGAAAAGAAUUACUAUUGAACUUGACCAAGAUGGGGCUCGGGUUGAAUGCACCUUUUUUGGAAAGUAUGUUGAUGAGGUCGUUGGUUAUCUUGGAUCUGUUGAUGCAACCAAUGCUGUUGUUGUUGUGAGUUGUGUCAAAGUAAAGCCCUUUAAAGGUAAGACAAGUCUCCAAAAUGUUUAUGGAGCUACAAAGGUUCUUUUUAAUCCUCUCAUAGAAGAAGCUGCCCCCCACACAUACUUUUGUGGCUUCAACCUCAACACAAAAUUAAAAAAAUUGAGGAUAUAGACAAACAUGUUUCUGCAGAGCUUCCUGAUCCUAAAGUUUAUCCAAAUUUAUACAAGGCAGUAUCAUCAUACAUGAUGCAUGGUCCAUGUGGUGUUGUUGACCCUAAGUCAGUUUGCAUGGUCGAUGGAAAGUGUUCUAAACACUUUUAAAAAAAAAUUCAAAAUUGCACAACAGUUGAUGAUGAUGGUUAUCCAAUUUAUAAAAGAAGAAGAACUGGGAUUACAAUUUUGAAGAAAGGAGUUCCUCUCGAUAAUGGUUUUGUUGUUCCUUAUAACCCGGUCUUGCUUAUGCGCUAUCAAGGACACAUCAAUGUUGAGUACUGCAAUAAGUCGAAUGCUAUGAAAUAUAACAAAGGACUUGAUAGAGUCAAUGUUCAGAUAUCCAAUGGUGGUACCAGUGCUGACAAAUCUGAACAACAAGAUGAAAUCAAACAAUAUUAUGAUUGCAGGUACCUCUUUUUUACUCCAUGUGAAGCCGCGUGGAGAACAUUCAAAUAUGAUAUUCAUGAUAGAUGGCCUCCAGUGUUGAGAUUAGGAUUUCAUCUUCCAAACCAACAAAGUGUUUUAUUCAAAGAGAAUGACGAUUUGGAAGUUGUGAAGGAAAACUCAACUAAAAAGGGCACUCAAUUCUUGGCAUGGAUGGAUGCCAACAAGAAGUACCAGGAGGGGAGAAAUCUCACAUAUGCAGAAUUUCCUUCCAAGUUUGUGUACAACAAAAAAUCAACAAUAUGGCUUCCUAGGAAAAGAGGCAUUUCUCUUGGUCGAUUGCAAUUUAUUGCUCCUGGGAUGGGAGAAAAUUACUACGUGCGUGUUUUAUUAAAUAGGCAAAAAGGUUGUGACAGUUUUAAAAGCAUAAGAACUAUAAAGGGUGUUGUUUAUCCCACAUUCCGCAAUGCAUGCGAAGCGAUGGGAUUACUGGAGGAUGACCGGAAGUAUGUUGAUGGAAUUUCAAUUGCAAGUGAACUUGGUUCCAGAUCUCAGCUAAGGAAAUUAUUUACCAGAAUGCUGAUGACAAACUUGAUUUCCAGGCCACAAGAAGUUUGGAGAAAGUCUUGGACUCUUUUAAGUGAUGGGAUUUUAUAUGACAGAAGAAACGCACUCAACAUUCCAGGUAUUUCAUCAAUAUUAAUUUUUUGGCCAUAAUUAGUAAUAUUUUCUUUUUUAUCCCUAAAGAAUUAGCAUGCAUUUAUUUUUUGACAUGUAUAAUUGUCCACUGCUAUUACUAUUUCUUUCCAUAUGUUAAGUAAACCAAAUAGUAUUUACCGUAUUUAGAAAAUUAUGCAGCAAUCUAAGAAAUGUACUAUCAUAAUUUUUACACAUGCUAAAAUGUAGAAAUUACAUACUGUGGAUACCCCUUUUUGUCCGGGCUUAAUCUUUUAAAUUAAGAAAUAUUAAUAACUUAAUUAGGCAUAUAGAAUUAGAAUGAUUAAGUGAGUUGAUUUAUUUUGAUUCCAUGAUGUCAAUAAUAAAAAAAGGGGGCUUUACCAAACUCAAAAAAAGAGUGUGUUUCAUUUAUGGGCUUGGCCCAUUUUAUGCAAUCAACCAUAAAAAAAAAAAAGAGAGAGAAAAGAAAAAAGAAAUCAGCAAUGGUCCAUGAACCCCACCUUAAGGCAAGUGAUCCUCCUAUAAGUACCAGGUGAUAACAUUUCCCCCAACUACCUAAGGAUGGAAGGCACUAAACUUGAUAAUAUAAAAACUGUCUGAUAAAAGGGAAGAAGCAAGGGAACGUGAGUGCUGGUGGUGUUUGUAGCUUUGUCAAAGGCCUGUCUUUAGUCACGGGCAGCUAUAUGUUGCACUUUCUAGAGUUAAAUCUAGAAAAGGGUUGAAGAUGAUUAUCAUAGAUGAUAAAGGAGUUGUAUCUAACACUACACGCAAUGUAGUGUAUCAAGAAGUCUUCGAUAAUAUUUGACAUCAUAAAAAGAUAUCAAGCAAUUUAUUGAUCAUCUAAUUUGAAGGUGUAAUGACUUUUCUAUAAGGUUCUAUAGCACAAAUAUGCUUGAUUGACAACAAGCUCGGUUAUGAAGUCUUUAUCAUUAAUCAUGGACUACAAUUUCGAAUAAGGGUUCAUGUUGCUGUCAUUGUUAUGUUUAUCUUAUUUCAAUUUUCAUGUAAUGCAUUACUUAAAAACGUGGUUUUUAUUACUAUUCAAGUGUUGACACUGUGAGGUAUCUACAACCUCAUCAAAUAAAUAUAUUUACUGUGGUCAAUUCAUCUACAUGUUUGUAACAUAUGUU